UGAAACUCAUUCUUGAGAGUCCAGGGACAAUGGAGAAGAUAAUGGAGUGGAAAAGAAAGCUAAGUGACUCAAACAAUCUGGAUGACACCACUGUGUUCAAAACAAGUUCUAUUUUCCUCACUGAGCCCUCUGUUCCUCUUCUGUUGUAUAAUGAUGACUGUGAAAUGGUUAAUCCACUAGGCUCUAAGACCUCAAUCCACAAAUUGGGAUUCAUCUAUUUCACUCUUAAAUGUCUUCCCCCAGAGUGCCUUUCAAGUCUUGAUUCUCACUUUCUUUUGGCAGUGUAUAAGGCAGAUGAUGCCAAAACGUAUGGUAUAGAUGCUGUCCUGAAGUCAGUUGUUGAUGAUAUCAAUGAUUUGGAAACAAAUGGUGUGGAAGUAGACACGGCUCACUUCAAAGGCACAUUGAAGGUUUGGGUUGCCCAAAUUUGUGGGGAUAAUUUGGGGCUAAAUUCAAUCCUUGGCUAUACAGAGAGCUUCUCUGGAAAUAGUGUUUGUCGCUGGUGCCACGUGAAGAAACUUGUCAUGAGAACACAAACAAUGGAAGAUCCGUCACUGCUUAGGGAUAAGGAUGGCCAUCUUUCAGAUCUGGUGCAAAGUAAUCCAACAGAAACUGGCUUAAAAAGACAGAGCGUUUUGAACAACUUGAAAUACUUCCAUGUGACAGAAAAUGUAGCACCAGAUAUUAUGCAUGAUAUCCUUGAAGGAGUAGGUGCAUAUGAAGUUAAAUUGGUAUUAGGCUCUCUCAUCUCUCAGAAGGUAAUAACCUUAGACCAGGUUAAUUACCGAAUCACAAGCUACGAUUAUGGCUUCUGUGAGUCUUCCAACAAGCCAUCCACAAUCCGACCUCAAGAAAUAAAAACACCAGACAGUUCAAUGAAGCAGACAGCAGCACAAAUGUGGUGCCUGUUAAGGCUUCUUCCUUUGAUGAUAGGAGAUCUAAUUCCAGAGGGAAACAAAUACUGGGAGCUCUUGCUGCUUUUGUUGACCUGUAUGGAAUAUAUUUUUUCUCCAUCCUUAACAGAAGAUGCAGUAUUAUUUCUCAGACAUCUUCUUCAUGAGCAUCACAGCCUUUUCCUGGAACUCUUCCCUGAUAGACAUCUAAAGCCAAAACAUCAUUUCAUGCUGCAUUAUCCAGGUGCCAUAAGGAGACUGGGCCCUCUGAUGCACUACUGGUCCAUGCGCUUUGAGGCCAAGCAUGGUUUUUUUAAAAGGCUUGCCCAUGUCACAUGUAACUUCAGAAACAUUUGCAAAACAAUGGCCUUCAGGCAUCAAAUGUUUUUGUGUUACAGUCUUUUGUCUGAUCACCUAUUUGCACAUCAUAAAGAACUUGGUCCUGGUUGCACUACUCCACUUGCUUCCAUUGAGGGAUUUGAUCAAGUCUGCCACAGAUUUGAACAUACUCCAUCAUUGACUGAAGUGUAUAUACCCUCUUGGGUGAAGUGGAAAGGGACAGAAUAUCGUCCAGGAAUGACCCUCCUUGUGUCUCAUUCUCCAGAUGGUGAACCUCAGUUCGGAACAAUUCAGAAGAUUGUGGUUUUUGAGUCUGUCAUCAAUUUCAUUGUUAGGAAAUGGGACACAGUAGGAUUUGAAAGACACUAUUUUGCAUGCUGCGUAAUUCCCACUACUGUCAUUGACUCUAUUGAUGUUGACUCCAUUGAUGAUUACCAUCCUCUCCAUGUAGUGAGGUCAUACAAGGAAGGGGACAGCAACCACUAUGUGUCCAUGCGCUACCGGCUGUUUUAAAUGUCCCCUUUUUCAACUUGAAAUUCCAAGGAAAAUUUUUUUUGGACCGUUUACACACCUGUACAGACUUUUUGGAGAUGCAACCAUUUUUUCCCCUAAAAAGCUAUCUUUAAUUCACCGUAUUUGUGUUUUACAAUGUUUUGCGAGCCACAACCAGAACAGAUCCAAAGUGGAUCAGCUUCCAAACCUCCUGUGGACCAACAAUGUGAAGCAGAAAUUCAGAUGUCAGUGGAGGAAGUGCCAACAUUUAAUAUUUCUGAGGUCCUAAUGAGCAGUGUCGAAGGCAAGGACGUAUUGGCCAGUCUUGAGAAGAACACUUUAUCCUUAAAUCAGCGAAGAUGCAUGGUCAGGAUACUAGUUUCACACCUUAUGAAUCGCUUUGGAGAAAACCCAUCCUCUGAGCAAAAGAUGUGUUUGGCUGUUUCUCUGGUUGAGCAAUAUCCCUGUCUUAAGGACUCCCAGGGUAAAGGCUAUGAAGCAUGGUUCAGCCCUGGACGAAGCCAUCGUCCAGCUACUGGAUUUCUGGAGGAACGCUUGUGAAAUGUCAGGAAGAGAACCCGUCGUGAAAACUGCACAAGCCGUGAGAAAGAGGAUUCUCAAGCCAUAAGCAGCACCUUGGUUAUACCAGAGCCAAGUAUUUCACCUGACAGAGCAGUACAACUUGCAGAAUGGCUUAAAAAUAAUAUGUGGCCAGCUAACCAAGUUGCAGAUUACAUGAAAGAAACAGCCAUCCACAGGGCUCAGUGGAUAAGAGCAAACGGGACAAAAUCUAUCGAGGAAAUAACUUGUGAAUUCCCUCGACUCCUUGAUACGCCAGGCAUGAUUUCACAAGACUUCUCUGUAUUAUUCCCCGACCACGCAGAGAGACUUUUCCAAACUUGGAAAAUGAGUUUCAAAGACAAAAUCCUUUGCUUUGCCAGCCAGGAGAAAAAGGCGCAGGAGCUUCUCCAGAAUUUAGACAGUUUGUCUCCAGAAGUCCAAAGUGACGUUGCACUCAGGCUGCUUCCUGUAAUACUGCCCACCCCUGUCUACAAAAAAGGGAUGAAAAUGUUCAAACCAAGCUUGGAAGAAAAUAUCAAGUCUUUCAUUGAAUUCAAGCAUGUUGGGACCAACAUGGUUGAAUAUUUGAAGGAGGCAGAGCUCACUAAACCCUUCCCCUUUGUCCUUGGUCUUGGGGAUGACAAUCAAUGCCAUCAAGCCUUUGUAGUUGUUGGCAAACAGGCACUGCAUCAAAACACACUCCUUGGUGCUGUGGACACGUGCUUUAAACUUUUUUAUGUUUUAGACAUCCAUUUCCCGAAGCAGUGUGCACCAGUGUGGGAGUUUUUGCAGACUGUUGUCUACAAACUCCCAGGAACUGAAUCUCCUUCUGUGAUGCAAAAAAUGAGACUUCAAUUCUGGUCAGACGGUGGGGUGGUAUUUUAGUAUGCAAAUUUACUCAAAGAAUAUAGGAAAUGAGAAUACAACUCAUAACUUGCAAACAGAUUAGUAAGUAUUAAAAUCAGCUUCAAAUAUAGAAAAUACAAAUCCCCAAAUUAAUAUAGUUUUAAAAGCAAUCCAUGUAUGAUGGAUGUUGCCCAAUUAAAAGUAAUACAAAAUGCAUUAUAAUAUUCAAAAGUAAUCAAGAUGUUAAAAAUAAUAAUACAAAGUAUACAACAAUACCCUGUAUAUCAAAAGUCAAAAGUUAUAAUAAUAUUCAUAUAAUAACAAAUAAUAUAAUAAUAAUCAUAUCUGAGAUGAAUAAAACCUGAGAGAAGUUCAAAGUAUUCAAGUGAGCCCGGAAUCAAAGAUAAAGAAGGUGAGAAAAGACUAAGUCCAGCUAGAAGGGUCUAGGCUGAACUCAGUCUGCGCGAGAGAGAGAGAGAGAGAGAGCUGAA